GUUUUUGCUGUGUAAGCAGGCUGACUGUGAGCUCAUAAAGUAUGUAGCACAGGCUGGCCUCCAACUCACUGUGGUCCUUCUUCCUGAGACUCUCAAGUGCUGGGAUUGCAAAUAUGUACCACCAUGCCUGACUCACAUUUCCUUCCAGGUCACAGCACAGGUACCAGCAGGCACAGAAGCCAUGAUUGCUCACUCAUAUGAUUGGGUGAGUGAGAAAGAACAUCAUCCCGACAACCUGAAAAGUCAAGCUGGGGCCCAUCUGAUGGCCUCUCCUCACACGAAACUCAUCUCAGUGACCAAAAGCAUGCAAAACCUGAAUUCCAAUUUCUGUAACAGAGCCAAGGACAUGAACGGACUUUGUGAACUUGGCUCACCUCCAGAGCAAGGGUAGAGACAGACCUGAAUGAAUAUCAGUGACAGGAAGCAGGAAUAAUGUCUGCUGUAAGUAAAAAAUGGAUGUGA